rnacentral:rRNA from 1 species
UGACCGUACUAAGGUAGCAUAAUAAUUUGCCUUUUAAUUGGAGGCUAGUAUGAAUGGCUUGACGUGAAAUAUACUGUCUCAACUAUAUUUAGUAGAAUUUAACUUUUAGGUGAAGAGGCCUAAAUUUUGUGGGAAGACAAGAAGACCCUAUUGAGCUUUAAAUAUUUAUGUUAGUGGGAACCUAAGAUUUAUAUGAUGGUCAUUACUUCUAAGUAUGUUGGUUGGGGCGACCGAGGAGUAUAAAGUAACCUCCUUGUAAUGUAAAGAAUUUGUUAUCAACGAACCUGUAAUAUAGGUUAUUCGGUAGUUACCAUAGGGAUAACAGCGUAAUUCUUUUGAAGAGUUCCUAUCGAAGAAAGAGAUUGCGACCUCGAUGUUGGAUUAAGGUGUCCUAAGGG